UUCCUAGUGUGAGCGGCGGGAAGGAAAUCCCGAGGCGAGGCACUGCGCACGCGCGGGCUGUCGGGGACGACCGAGGGAGCCGGGGCCUGCGGCUCCGCCUCCGAGCUUCCAAAGGCAACCUUGCGCGGUGCUCGGGGUCACGAGGUUCCCGUCCGUGAUUGGGCGGAGAAAAGCCUUGUGAUUGUCACAGGAUUCGUCCCUGAAGCGUCUCGGCUGAGAAAAUCGGGGAUUUAUUCCUGGGUGGUUUUCUUUAACGUCCUUAUCGGGGUGCCGUGACUUUGCCUGUGCGGGGGUGGAUAAUAUGGAAAGUCAGUGUUCUUAGAAAGGGAAAGGUCGCUGGCUUAAUCUGCGGGAGGCCGAGGCUGUGAUUGAUAAGGGGUCAAAGUUGACGGCACCUCUUUUCUUAGGAAAAAGCCCGAGGCACAUUUUAGGAGGGUUACUUUAAAGUGUUUUUAGGCGUCACACACUUCAGGCUGGUGGGAAGCGGGAGAGCCCUAAUAAGGGCGGCGCAGCCUGGGGGCUGGGGUUACCGCUGCAAGGUUUGCAAGCCUAAGUGCACAGCAAGGCCACUUCCGUUGGGGAACAAGCUUGCAAGCCUCAAUACCUGGUUCUAGAAGUCUAGUGCUUUGGUGUUCUAUUGCCUAUAGCGUUUCUGGUGUUGCCCUGGCGCACUUCUCCUUCCCCACCUCAAGGACUGGGUGGGUUUUUGUUCGUUCGUUCGUUUGUUUGUUUGUUUUUAGAUAGGGUUUCUCUAUGUACCUCUCACUGUUCAGGCUGGUUUCCUACUCAGGGAUCUGCCUAUUUCUGCCUCCGGAGUGCUGGGAUUAAAGGUCUGCACUACCUCCUGACUGUAAAUUCUUUAACAUGUUACUGUGACUGGAUUAAUCAACUAGGUUACUAUAACCAUUGGGUUUGUAAAUAGACGUUCUGGGUGGGAAAUGUCUGUAUUUUCACUGCUGUGAGAUACUGGUUAUUUUUUUUUAAACACCUGACCCUUGGGAUUUUUCUAUUGUAAAAUGGAUAUAAUUAUAUCUACCUCAAGGGGGGGGGCACCUGCUUUAAUCCCAGCACUUGGGAGGCAGAGGCAGGUGUAUCUCUGUAGGUUCAAGGCCAGCCUGGUCUACAUAUUGAAUUCCAGGACAACCAGGGAUACAUAGACCUUGUCUCAAGAAGAGCUGAGAAGAGACCAGGUAUGGAGGUUGCACAUCCAUAAUUCCAGAACUCAGAUUAAGAUAGAGACAUGAGCAUCAGGAGUUAAAGAAUACUUUAGUGAAGUAUUGGAAGUCAUCUGGGCUACAUGAGAUAGACCUUGCCUUAAAAAAAAAAAAUCAAACUGAGAAAGAGUUAUCAGACAUCACCAUACUAUUCCACAACUAAUGACAUAAUGGAAACACCAUUCAGGCCUUGAAACUCAGCAUGUAUGUAGGCAGCAACACCUGCUGAAAAGAAAAAAAAAGAGAACAAAGAUCUAAUCCAUCAAAGUUCCAUAGACUGGAAAGUUCCUAAAUGUACUGACCUUGCUUUUUGGUUUCUGUAGUUUGGCUUCUGGCUAACUGUUCUUGUUAACUAAGGUGUGCCAACUCAGGGUAUGGUUUUUGUUUUUAAAUCUCACCUUGAGAAAGGCUCAGCACUGCACGGGGGUCCUGAACACCCAUUGUAGUCAGAAGCCAGCUAAUAAAGACCUUCUAUUGGCUUAAACCCAUGUCCAAGGAGUCUUCUCUGGUGGAUACCUCACAGCAAUACCAGCUUCCUUUGGUUUCACAUUUUCUCCAAUUUGUAAAGAGAGAUAAGAGUCCAUCCUGGUAGGGAGGCGUGGCAGCAAGCAGCAGGAAGCUGAGAGAUGAUAUUUUCAACUGAAACAGGAAACAGAGAAAGUGAACUGGAAGUCAGUGCCAAAGACUGAGAAAUCCUCAGUGGUGGGAGCUUUGAUGACAUCUGAAUGAAGUGUGUACCGCAGUUCCUGAUGUAGAGGAGUUCUCCAAAGUAUGUGCCGAACAAAUCAAUGAAUAAGACCAAUUAAAAGUUCAAAGCUGCAAAAUGGAGAAACAGUUGCAGGCACUCUCAGAGGCCAGAAGAGGGCGUUUGGAUUCAUUGGAGCUGAAAUGACUAUAGGCUAUAGGCUGCCUGGUACAGGUGCUGGGAACAGAACCAUGGUCUUCUGGAAGAGCCGCCCUGAGCCAUCUCUUCAGUCGGCAGUCAGUUGGUUAACUCUUAAAGCCUCAGUUUUAUCACCUGGAACCUAGAAGCAAUGAUGAGAAGAGAGCACAUGUGGAUUCUGAGGAUUGAACUGAGAUCAUCAGGCUUGGAAGCAAGUGCCUUUAUCAGCUAAGCCAGCUUACUGACCUUUUUGUUUGUUUGUUUGUUUGUUUGUUUGUUAGAGUUUCAUAUAGCCUGGACUAGCCUUGAGUUCCAUAUGCAAUUGAGGAUGACCUUGAACUUCUGAUCCUCCUGCCUCCAUUUCCUAAGUGCUAUUAUCACAGGGGUGUGCCAUCAUGUCUGGGGACUGAACUAGGGCUUUGUGGAUGCUAAGCAAGGACUCUAUCUGUUCAGCAACAUCCCUAGCCUCCUGGCUGUCACCUCACUUCCAACUCUGUUCUUUGUGCCAUGGUCAAGUGUGGAGUUCUAACACAAAGGCUAGUCAUUGCUCUACUUAAAAGACCCAGGAGUUUCCACGAGACUUACAUUGCAAUCCUGGCAUAGUUAGAGCCCCGAACAUCCUGCAGGCUCUGCUGCAGCCUUCUUUUUCAUCUCUCCCGAUUGCCUGCACCCCUCCAUCCCCCUUUCCACUUCCUGGGACUCAUUAAACAGCAACCAGUCCCUGCCUCAAACCGCUACACAAGUUGUCUUCUUUCUCAGGAUGCUUUUCUUGGGGAUCAUAUACAUACAUACAUACAUAUAUAUAUAUAUAUGUAUACACACACACACACACACACACACACACACACAUAUAUAUAUAUAUAUACACAUAUUUUACGUCUCUGUUCAAAGGUCAUAUUCCUAGACAGAUCCUUCUCAACUCUAGUUAAAUUUGCACACUUCCCACUUCCUACUUCCAUUACUCUUCAUUUUAUUACCCAGCUGUAUUUUUCACAUAGCACAUGUUACUUAUUAUUAUAUUGUUCGCUUAGUUUUAUCAUCUAUUCUCUCUCACUAGACUAUAACCGUCAUCAAGUCAAGGACAUUUUCUUUCUUCUUUUUUUUUUACUUCUGUAUCUCUAUGCCCAGGAGCAGUACAAGAAACAUAAAGAUGGUAGGGACUCAGUAGAUACUACUAAAUAAAUGAACUCAUUGGGGAUUCCUGGGAAGAGACUCCACGUGGGUAAUGUUGGUCUGCACCUUAACCCAGAGAGACAUCUUUGGAGCCUCCAGGAUCUCUGUUUCUCUGGUCUCCAAGAUGAUAUAUGUCCAAUGCUCUGAGGGGCAGGGAUGCUUGAAAAACCAUCUGACAACUUAAUGUUCUUGGGAUUUUUAAAAAAAAUCAGAUUGAGGUAAUCUUUACCUUUUGUUUAGAAGAGAGUUUCUGUGAAAACAAAUUCGGUCUCUGUCUCCCCCCCUCUUUCAACUGGGCAAUAAAAAUGACAACAACCAAGGAUUCUUAUUUCUCUUAUCACAUAUUAAAACUAUCUAUGGUUUCAUACUAGGUAUACUUAAGGAAAAAAAGGAUUUCUCACUCUCAACUGGUAGGUGACAUGUUUUUCUCCUGUAGAUAAAAUGUGGUAAAUCAUUAUUUUCCUACAAGUGCAUGUAUGUAAAGCUGAAGCCCCCAAAAGUGACAGAUGUGGGGACAUGGCUGUGGCAAGUCAACGUGGAGCAGUGGGUAAGUGUACACAACCUGCAGCCUCUUGGCUGGAGUUAGGAUGCAGGUUUUGUGUUUAUCUGGAAAGAGAGGAUAACAGCACCUUCCCUGUCAGUUUACUUACGUAGAGUAAAUGAGCUAACUAAUAGAAAAUACUUAGAAUAGUUCCGGGCAUCCAAUAAACACUAGUCACUUCUCAAUACAUGAAACAUCAGCAGGCACUCAGCUCAUGUUAGCUACUAGCUUUUGGUGAGCUGGCAUAGCUAUUAAGAGACAGUUGCAUCUUAUGUAUUGUGUGUAAACUGUAUAGGAGUGGGUAUAAGGACAAAGAAAAGCUGUCCUCAAGGAAACCAAUGCGUACAUAGUACAUAGACAGGGAGGCCCACGUACACAGAUGGCUCAAGAGGAAAUGAGGUGGAGUGAAGGGCUGUGUUGACCAUGCACAGGGAGUGGUGUGAGACAGCUGUCUGGAUCUUGAUUUCCUUUCUUUUCUUUUUUAAUGUUGUAUUCAUAAUUAAUUAAAUUGAGUAUUUCUGUUUACUAAAAGAAUAAAAUAUUAUAAAAUGGGAACAUAUGGCUUAUAACUUAAAAUCUGGAUUCUGUUGACACUGUUUUAUAUGCAAUUAUGUAACAAAUACAUGAAUUUUAAAAAUAUGAUUUCAAACAAUUAUAUUGCAUCAGCUUAAUCUAACAUUUUAUAUUAGAUUGUUUUAUUAUUCUCUAUUAAAAUGAAACUCUUAUUGUUGUUUUAGAUUCAUUUCUAAGCUUAGACUCCUGGAGUAGCAUGGAUAAAUUUGCAUUAAAAAUGUUAGUUUUGGGUCUGAGAUAUCUUUAAUCCACACCCAGUAAGAGGCAGUAUAGUGAACACUUCUGGGAGCAUUGCCAGCUUGGAAAAUUGUCAA